rnacentral:rRNA from 1 species
ACGAACGCUGGCGGCAGGCCUAACACCUGCCAGUCGAGCGAGGACUUCGGUUCUAGCGGCGGACGGGCGAGUAACGCGUGGGAAUGUGCCCUUCUCUACGGAAUAGCCCUGGGAAACUGGGAGUAAUACCGUAUACGCCCUAUUGGGGAAAGAUUUAUCGGAGAAGGAUCAGCCCGCGUUGGAUUAGGUAGUUGGUGGGGUAAUGGCCUACCAAGCCGACGAUCCAUAGCUGGUUUGAGAGGAUGAUCAGCCACACUGGGACUGAGACACGGCCCAGACUCCUACGGGAGGCAGCAGUGGGGAAUCUUAGACAAUGGGGGCAACCCUGAUCUAGCCAUGCCGCGUGAGUGAUGAAGGCCUUAGGGUUGUAAAGCUCUUUCAGCUGGGAAGAUAAUGACGGUACCAGCAGAAGAAGCCCCGGCUAACUCCGUG